CACCGGAAUGAUAACUGGAUGGCUUGCUGUCGGGUUUGUUGCAUUCUAUGCUUCAUGACCUGUUUAUCAGUCACUUGUUGUCUUUUAACUUUUCGGAAGAUAAAAGCCAGGAAUCGAUUCUUACACGGUUUUGAAAGRACUCCUUACUAGAGUUSAACCAUUUUCUCAACCGUUUACUUUUCCUCGACAGUU
rnacentral:snoRNA from 1 species